CGGGACGGGUGAGUAACGCGUGGGUAACCUGCCUUAUACAGGGGGAUAACAGUCAGAAAUGGCUGCUAAUACCGCAUAAGCGCACAGAGCUGCAUGGCUCAGUGUGAAAAACUCCGGUGGUAUAAGAUGGACCCGCGUUGGAUUAGCUUGUUGGUGGGGUAACGGCCUACCAAGGCGACGAUCCAUAGCCGGCCUGAGAGGGUGAACGGCCACAUUGGGACUGAGACACGGCCCAA
rnacentral:rRNA from 1 species